rnacentral:lncRNA from 1 species
GAAAUCCCAUGAAGCCUGUCCUUGCAGAGCCCCUCUGUUUUUGGGGGAACAGGGAGCAUUCACAGGGUCUUGGGAACAAAGGCCUGGGCCUCCCUGUUUGAAUUUCAGCCCCAGUUCCAGGGCAAGUCCCAGCCACCCAAGCAUACUUAUCAGUACUGCCCACCACCACCCACUGCCCACCUCUAAGAAGCCCGGCUCUCCUACUCUGCUUCCAGGCUGGGGCCUCACAGGUGGGGCUGUUACCUUCCUCAGGGCUUAGGGAGGGAGGGAGGACAUGGACAGGGCCUUCCACCCUGGCUCCUUCACAGGGAUGGUAGCUGACCGGUGAUGGGUUCAUUUGUCACCUUGGACUGUGAGCCACUUCUACUUCUCGCCCCCCAGGCAGGAGCACCCUCACUCCAAGGGCUUGGCCUGGAAAGGCAGGCUCACCUGGGACUCAACGUUCCUUCCCCCGCCGCCACUGUGCCCCCCCCGUCCCUCCACCCCAGAAGCCCUGACCUCAUUUUGGCACCUUGCUGUCCUCUGGGCUUCUCCUCUGCCCAGGUCACCCUGUGGCAGGCCUGGGCCCUCAGGAUGUUUCAAAGGCUCCACAGCUCCACCGCUCCACCUGGCUUCACUCCAGCACCCUGUCCCUGGAGCACCUCUGUCCUGUCUGGGCCAACCUGGUCUCCCUGCCCCAUGCCCUCCCCUGGCUCUUAGCAACCUGCCCUUUUAUUCAUGCCAUUUGGGGUCACAGAUGCCUAGCUGGACACAGCUCCCAGAACUGGCUCCACCCUGGGGCCUUGCCCCUAGUACCCCCUGGCAGGAGCAACCCACCCCAUGGUUGAGGUUCCCCUACCCCUGGAUCCUGGACUGAAGCCAUUUCCUACAGAGAAGCGUUCCCACCCCCUCUCAGGCACAAAAGCCGGUGUCCAGGGACUCAAGACCUGUACCUGGGGUUGCAGGGGCUCCUGCCCUGCUGUAUCCCACCAGGAGGGGGCCCCACUGCCCUUCCGGCCCUUAAAACUGGGCUGGGAGAGAAGAUGGGGAAGUGUGUGAGACAAAACAAAGCCGGCUUGUUUCCUCCCCUUGGCAGGCUAAGCUCUCCCGGCAGCCCGGGCUCUGGGGCGGAAGGAGAACAGUGUCAUCUCUUCCUUUGUUGAUAAAUUGCCAAAGAGUGGGAGCAGGUGGGGUCAGGGGCCAGAGUGCAGGGGAGGGGGCAAUGGUGGAGGUGGCGGGGGGAAGCAGAGGGAGGUGGGCUGAGGCCUCGGUGGGGCCAGUGCGACGCUGGCUUAAGGAGCUGGAGGGGUUCCUAAUACACAUUUAAUUCAGUUUCUCUUCCCUAAGAGGCUGCCGGAGUUGGGGCCUCCUCCAGCAGAGACCCUCGGACCCCUGCAGGGCCUGGACUUGGGGUGAACAGGGCUUCAGUCAGCGCAAGUAUUCCAUUUGCAUUUGGUAAUUUUUCAUGUCACCUAUUUAUGAAUAUAUAAAUCUUUAUACCAAAUCUAUUUUUUAAAACAUGGAAAAGUUGCCUUUAUGGAAACUUGGCAGAGCCAGAGUGUACACAUUCCUAAACCAUUAAACAGAUUUCUAUAACAAGCCAC